GAUGAACGCUGGCGGCGUGCCUAAUACAUGCAAGUCGAGCGAAUGGAUUGAGAGCUUGCUCUUAUGAAGUUAGCGGCGGACGGGUGAGUAACACGUGGGUAACCUGCCCAUAAGACUGGGAUAACUCCGGGAAACCGGGGCUAAUACCGGAUAACAUUUUGAACCGCAUGGUUCGAAAUUGUAAGGCGGCUUCGGCUGUCACUUAUGGAUGGACCCGCGUCGCAUUAGCUAGUUGGUGAGGUAACGGCUCACCAAGGCAACGAUGCGUAGCCGACCUGAGAGGGUGAUCGGCCACACUGGGACUGAGACACGGCCCAGACUCCUACGGGAGGCAGCAGUAGGGAAUCUUCCGCGAUGGACGAAAGUCUGACGGAGCAACGCCGCGUGAGUGAUGAAGGCUUUCGGGUCGUAAAACUCUGUUGUUAGGGAAGAACAAGUGCUAGUUGAAUAAGCUGGCACCUUGACGGUACCUAACCAGAAAGCCACGGCUAACUACGUGCCAGCAGCCGCAGUAA
rnacentral:rRNA from 1 species